UCCCCUGUACAAGAAGGUUGCAAUGUACAAGACUGCUUCCUGUGAUGACCUUAGCCUGAGUGGAUGCCUAGUCCUCCUCCAGCAGGGCUCCCGCAGUGGAGGAGACAACUUGGAUACAGAGUUAUGCAGUGAGAGUACUGGCCAGGUGGCGCUGCUUCACACUUGCAGCUGGGACCUUCACUAUCCGGGCUGUCCAUGAAGGCAAAAAUGCCCUCCAGCUCUCCUCCUUCUGUGCAAACUCCAAGAAGAAGCACAUUCUUCAGGGUGCUGUCACGGAGAAGAAGCCAGCAGGGCAGAGGCUGUCCACGGGGCUGCUUCAGACCAUGUGGGAGGAACGGUUCUCCUGGACUGGCUCUCAAGUCUCUGCUGGGUGAGGCUGAGGACCCUCUGGCUUGAAAGGGGAGCAGGAACCCCCUCCACAGGUCCGGAAGCCUGGCCAGAGAGCCAGGAUGUGGGCCUCUACCACCACCGCGAGGGUGAACUCUUGCUCUCCUCCAUCUUGUGUUUGGUCCCCAAUCCUCUCCUGGGAGAUGCUGAGGGCACCAAUUUUGAGCUGUUGAAUAGCUCCUGCUUAAGCAGUGACAUUGCUCCAACAGGUCCAAGAAGACGACCCUCUUCUGGACAGCUGGCCCUUGGCCUUUGCACCUGGAGCUCAGAGGCUUGCGGGGUUGAGAGGGCACCAGCCAGGGCUUGGGGCUGGCUCCCAGAGGGAUGGAAGCCACUUGGUCAGCAGAGCCACCUCGCCCUCCUCCCAGCUGCAUCCGCCUGCGCUGGGCUCCUGGCAACUGCUCCUCCGACCUCUCAGGGGAGUGCCGUCGGUGCAGGAGGCCUUCCUUCUCCUCCUUGUCCUUCUCCUUCCCUGCCCCCUGCCCCUGUCCUUCCCCUUUCUCUCCCUUCCUCUUCUCCUCCCCACCCUUCCUUGUUCUCCUCUUCUUUUCCACCCCCUGCCCCUCCUUUUCCCUCUCCCCCUUCCCCUCUUUCUUCUUCUCCCCACCUCCUACAACUCUUCCCAGUCCUCUCUGCAGUGGGAAGUGGUGCUAUGCUGCCAGACACCCCAAAUCUCGAACUUCCAUGCUUGCCUGGUGACUGGG
ensembl:lncRNA